UACGUAGGGUGCAAGCGUUAAUCGGAAUUACUGGGCGUAAAGAGCGCGCAGGCGGUCGUUCAAGUCGAGUGUGAAAGCCCCCGGCUCAACUGGGGAGGGUCACUCGAUACUGAUCGACUUGAAGGCAGGAGAGGGAAGCGGAAUUCCCGGUGUAGUGGUGAAAUGCGUAGAUAUCGGGAGGAACACCAAUGGCGAAGGCAGCUCGCUGGGACGGUACUGACGCUGAGGCGCGAAAGCGUGGGAGCAAACAGGG
rnacentral:rRNA from 1 species